rnacentral:lncRNA from 1 species
GACCACAGAGACACCCUGAUGAGCAGGGGGCACUUCCUGGAGCCUGUGGUGGCUACAUGAGGCCUUUGGAAAAGACGUGGUCCUCAACUUUGGGUGCAUUGGCCUCCCUUCAAGGUUUCCUGGUGGGAACCCAACUGAUGCGUGGGCCUGAGGCCACCCAGUGAGCAAGCUGCAGAGCCCGGAUUUAAACUGUCUCCAAGGACUUGCCUCCCCUCUGGGCUGGGAUGUUUGGGCUUGCAAAGCACAAAGGGAGGCUCUGGGGCAGGGACUGUUGUGGUUGCCUAUGAACUCCUCUGCAUUUCCUGGUUUCUCUUGCACUUAGGUUGGGCUGGUUGAAGCCUAGGCAGAAGACGUCUGCCUGCUUUUGAGCCAAAGCAGGGAAGAGGCAGUGAGCCAUUUCCAUUUACGUCUUCCCUGUUGAAGGAUAUUAGAGGCCCUGGGUUGCGGAGGAACUGCAAGAGGGAAGGGGAUGUUGACCCAGCUUGGAUUUUGUGUGAGUAAGGAGUAAGCCCUUAUCAUGUUAAACCAUGAAGAUUUGGGGGUGUCCUUGUUGCUACAGCCUUGCCUAGUCCGGCCUGACCGAUACAGAGCCUGAAGACUCGGACAUGACCACUACACAUUCCUGGAGCUUCACCUGAGCAGAUUCCACGGACAUACCCCCUGAGCCUGAGCUUGUGCAUGUGCGCGUGCACACCCUGGCAGACAGCCCUCUCCAGGAAACCGUGUGGGCCUCUUCAUCAUCAGGCAGAAAGUCUUCAGCCCUCUAAUUGCCGUCCUCGCUAACUCCCUGGCUGGCUGCCCAGCCUGAGCCCCUGGAGGAGAAAUGACUCCAAAUUCAGAGCAUAAACUCUGUGGCUGAUGUAUUAGAAUGUUCAGCGCAAGAAUUCAGAUGCCCACAAGUUAGGAUUUCAGAAUCCCGGUUCCCACAGCAACCGUCCCAGUGCUCCUGCGUAGUUUUCAAUGUUACUACAUGGGGUGGGGGAGGGGGAUUGAAUGAUGGCUGCAGUGUGUAUGACUGUGAGGUGUGUGCAUAUGAGUGUGUGUGAGGGACUGUGUGCAUAUGUGAUUACGACUGUGUGUGUGAAUGUGAUGUGUGUGGGGCAGGGGGGCUUUAGCUCUGCUCUGUAUCAUCUCUCUCUCUGGGUCUGGAAAACCACUUUCUCAUGCAUAAAGACAAAAAUGUGUUCUCCUAGAUCAGAAAACCCUAGAGGGCAGGGCCCAUGGCUGGGUCAGCCCUGUGUCCCCCACAGUGUCCAAGGCAAUGUUUGUUGAUUGACUGAAUGAAUGAGCAGCAGCUGCCAGCUCCAAGGCAGCUGGUUGAAAGCGGAUAACCUCGAGGGCUUUAUUUUUGUGUCAAGCAUUCUCCCAUCCCCUAUCCCAAGAAGGGAACCUGGCUUCUCUGUUCUCUGACUUCUGUGCUACAGGAACAAAAGCAGAAAUUACCUGGAACCGUCUUUCCAUCCAGGCCUCAUUUCACAGAGGGCCGAAUGGAAGAUCAGCGUUUCUCAGACAUCAUUAUCACCUUUUUUGUUUUGAGACAGUGUCU